CCACUUGACAAGUAAAAUCCUGUGGCGUUAGACAGUAAAAUACUAAAGUAGGGUGCAUCUGGGUGCAAUGCAACUUAAAGGGUUAAAUUAACCAAAAAAAGUUCAUACAUUUGUUUGAAAAAAAGAUUUUAACACAGUACCAUGCCUGUUUGUAUUUUGAAGUUCCUUGAGUUAAACAUGAUACUGCAUAAAACCCUAGUAGGGAACCACCUCCAGACCAAUUUACACUCACCUGCGACAAAAUAGGGAGGUUGUGUGCUUGAUUUGCACAGUGCAACUCAAGUUGUAAGCAUUUUGCAUGGGACCAUCUGAUGCACAAGACUUUCCUCUUGAUGAGUAAAAUGAUCUGAUAUCAGACAUUUGAGUUCCUUUGCAGCUUAAGGAGUUAAUCCUAUUUAUCUUAGAGAACAGCAAUUCAACUAUCUGGCUGGCUUGACAAAUAACUAUACACCAACAAUGUGUGCAAAGGCAAUUAAGUGUAUCCUUGGAAAAUUUUAUCUGAGAUUAUGCAGAGGAGUUUACAACUUUUUUGUUCAAGCCUAGUGACUUAUUUCAGUGCAUGAAAAUCAUCCCACCUUUCAUCCUGUCCUGACAAACUGGGAUCAUGUAAACAGCACAUUUAGCCAUUAAGUUGAUUUGCACUCUAAUUUUCCUACUUAUAUUAUUUAACCCUGUCUAACGUCAUACAAUUUUAUUAAGCAGGGGGUGCACUGGCAGUUAAUUAAUGGGUAACUAGACACAUGGGCAGUCUCAUUAUGAAGCAUAAAAUCGUCUAGCGUUGGACAGUAAAAUACUCAAGUAGAGCAUGCAUCAGGGCACAGUACAACCUAAUGGUUAAAUUUGUUUUUUGUAGCAAAAUGGUUUAAGUUUGAUAUCUGAAUUUUUUUUAUUUUUUUUUUUGCUUUGUUUUACAGAUCAUUACUUGAACGAUCUGAUGAAAUAUUGAUUUAUAAAAUAUCAUGUUAUCAAGAUGACAUGCCUCGAAGAGCAAUACAUGAGGGAAUACCUCUAUUUCUAAUCAAAUUACAACAAUACACCAAAGACAGUAGUUCUCGGAUGAAAUGAAAGGAUUGAUAAAUGUUCAUGGCCAGCAGCGGAUAUUUGUGACUAUAAUAAAUGGAUACAAAGAAACUAUGAUGGAUAAAUAUGGCCCCGUAAUGGAUAUUCAGUUGAUGGACAUACAAAGGUCACAGAAAUGUCUAUUUUCAGGUACUGUUUUUUUGUUUUUAUUAGCUUCGCCAACUAGGGCAGGGUCACCACAUCUUGUUUGCCUGCAUCUUGUUUGCCUGCGAACAGGCUGUAGACACUUGUAUCCAGGCCAUUGUUUGUUUGUUUUUUGUUCUGGGUACAAUGAAAUCCGGCAUAAAUCCUGGCGGUCUAAAUGUUCAGUAUAUUUACAAAUUCGAUCUAUUUUCUGUUCAGUAGACUUUGAUAGCUUGAAAGAAAGUUUAUAACGAUGAUUUUCUCUGCAAAAACUGUACUUUCGAAAUUCGUCAGCUUCUGAAUUUGAUAACCGAUCUGAAAAAAAAAGGGAACAUUUGAGUGUAUGGUUAUUGCAUGGUUCUAUAUAUAUUCUAUAUAUACUGCCUUUGUGCACACGCAUAACAAGUGCAGCAACGCAACAGUUUAGACAGGGUCAUGAGGCAGGAUGUGUACAAGAAAAGCUUUGCCAGAGUUUUGUCUUUCGAAAUAGAACGACGAUUGGAAAUUGCUGUUUGAUUCUUUGUAAUAUCUUGUCGCUUGUUAGUGAAAAAGAAAUUUGUCACUUUCCUCAUCUAAGGCCCUGUUUACAUGAGACCGGAACGAAGUCAAACCGGGACCAUUUCGUUUCGGUCACAGUAUUAUUUAUAAUAGAUGUUUAAAUGAGACCGGGACGAAAAUAACUCAGACCGGUCUCAAGUCAUUCCGCCUGCUGAACCGAACCGACUGACUUCAGACCGGCAUGAAUUCAGACGGGGAUGAAUGUAAACAGAAAUACAUUUCAGACCGGUCUCGGCUGUAACCUUGACAUUGGAACAACACAUGCUAACAAAGCCAUCUGAAAAAGAAAAUUGCCCUGGCAAGGGGAGAAAAUUUUGUGAUUUUCGUACCGGUCUCAUGUAAAGAUAUUGACAAUUUCAAUUUUCGUCCCGGUCUCAUGUAAACGGGGCCUAAACCUUUUUUUUUCAAAAAACUGGCAUCGUUUGUCUUGGGGUUAGGGGGUACAAAUGGUACCCAUAGCUUAGAGGGUGCAAAUGGUACCCGUAAGAAGACUUGGUGGAAAUCAUGUUGGUCGUUUGGAUCGGCGAGAAUAAGACAAUUAUGGUGGCAAAGUUUUUUUAAACAUUUUCUCUCCCGUAGUAAGGUAAAGCAUGUAUUUUCUUGGUAGCCGGUCUUCAUGAAAAAAUAGUCCGCUACCAGUGACUAGGUCCCCUCUCUUAUGGCGGUUAUUCCGGCUCAAUAUCUUGCAUGCGGAUAAUAUGGUCCGUCGCGUGCGCAAAAUAGUUAGGGAGUUAGACAGUUUAGCAGCGUCCAAACUGCGCAAUAUACGACACUCACAUGAAACGUAAAAUACUUUAUAAUAAUUCACAAAAUUGCGAAAACAAAAAAUUGACAAUUUUGCAAUUUGAAUUGUGCGUUUCUGGCAAAUGCCUUUAGAUUCAAGUUGUAACGACAAUUUACAAGCGCAUUAAGUGUAAAUACGGCAUUAUUUCUAAUGAAAAGACCGCCAGGGUUAGAGUGUUUUUAUGUGGUUUGUUAAGGAGCAAACUCGCUUUUUAAAAAAAGAAAUGUGUAUUAAUUUCGAUCCAGAUUUGUUCCUGAACAUGGUCGCCAUGAAAACACUCUGUAGAGCAAGCUCAGCGACGUACGGUCAUAAUAGCGUCGUCGGAAGUUUGCAUUCAGCAUUUUCGUUCAAAAUUGAACGUACAUUAUGCUAUGCUAGGGUUGCGUACAAUCGGUACCCACACGAUGUGUAGCAAUUCUAAAGGAAUAACUAAUACGUAUAAAUAGGGUGUGCGCACGAAGUUUUUUUCGCAGGCCUUAAUAACUUCGGGGAAAAUAAUAAAAAAAGCAGUGUCCGUGGUCGGGGCUGAAUAGUACUGUGGAAGAUUGGGUUGGAAAAUUUGCAAUUAAGAUCUGUAUUUUUGGG
rnacentral:lncRNA from 1 species